rnacentral:lncRNA from 1 species
CCUCGAGUAGGUCAAGGACGCUAAGUAACAGAGAAGGAGAACUAUUCAUAAACUCGGUCGAAUUUUCAAUGUAUCCCAACAUUUGCUCAACAAGUCUCGAAUUACUUCUUGGACUGUUGAGGGUAGAAGCACCAUUGGUCUGAGAAUUUGCAGAAUUACUAUGAUCAGCUUGUAUCAUUGCAUUCUCCUCUGUCAGUGAAACAAAAAGGGCAGGCUGAUAG